GUAGGGAAUAUUGGGCAAUGGAGGCAACUCUGACCCAGCCAUGCCGCGUGCAGGAUGACGGCCCUCUGGGUUGUAAACUGCUUUUAUACGGGAAGAAAAAAUACUACGUGUAGUAUACUGACGGUACCGUAAGAAUAAGGAUCGGCUAACUCCGUGCCAGCAGCCGCGGUAAUACGGAGGAUCCAAGCGUUGUCCGGAUUUAUUGGGUUUAAAGGGUGCGUAGGCGGAUCUUUAAGUCAGUGGUGAAAGCCUGCAGCUUAACUGUAGAAUUGCCAUUGAAACUGAUGGUCUUGAAUUAAGUGGGCGUUGGCGGAAUAUGACAUGUAGCGGUGAAAUGCAUAGAUAUGUCAUGGAACACCGAAAGCGAAGGCAGCUAACGAUACUUAUAUUGACGCUCAUGGACGAAAGCGUGGGUAGCGAACAGGAUUAGAAACCCUGGUAGUCC
rnacentral:rRNA from 1 species